CCCAAGCGGGACUAGGACGCGGCCACGGCGGCGCCGAGCCUGCCCGGGCCUCCCUCGUGCCUUGGUAGAGUCGAUCCGCACUCAGUCUGACCCAGGACGUCACUCUGCCUGUCUGUUUUCUCAAUGAUAACUUGGCAGGAGAAGGGGGAAGCUGGCAAGGUGCUGGGUUCUCCCCCCAUCCUUUCCUUCCCUCUCUCCCGGCUCUGAGAUCAUUACUUGAAUGUAGACCAAAGGAAAAGAUACAGCUACUUGGAACAGAUUCUUCAUCCCAACUAAGAUUUUUCCACCAAAGAAAAUCAAGACCAAUAAGAGUAUCCCUGUCUAAGCUGAAUCCAACCAAGAGCUGAUGAAGAGCAUGGAGACGGAUAGAGGUGCACUGAGCAUAGUUUGGAUUUCCACCCCUAAGUUUAUAUAUAAAACAUCUUCUGGAUUGCCUCAAAGAUCUUUUUAUUUAAUUGUCCCUCACAUCCUUGCUCAGCACAAAUCAAGUUGUUCAGUUAUAGAAAGAAACAUUCUGUGAAAAAGUCAAACUUCUAAGUUAAACUUUUAAAUUUUACAAAGCAAGCCACCAUAAUGCCUGUACAAGAUUAUGCUUACUGUAUAUAAAAAGAGGUAAGGUAGAUUUUUUGGACAUAGGUGACUGCAAGAUGAGAAGAGUAAAACAAAGUUCUGGCUUUCAUAUAAUCAUUUUAAUGCAAAAGAUAAUUCACAUUUUAAGGCAGAGACAGGUAAACUGUAACUUUUCCCUUUACCCAUCAACCUAUCCAAGCUGUUUUUGUGGUGUUCACCUUUCACACACUUUCAAUGUUCUGCGUGUUGUCGAAGGCUUUCACGGCUGGAAUCACUGGGUUGCUGUGAGUUUUCCAAGCUGUAUAGGCAUGUUCCAGAAGCAUUCUCUCCUGAUGUUUGGCCCCCAUCCUCAGAGGUUGUGAGGUCUCUUGGAAACCAGGCAAGU